GAAAAAUCAAAGGAGGCAAUGAAUCGGAUUGUGUCGUCCAACCAUGUGAAACCUUGCGACCCAAGGAACAAAAAUGGGUCCACUAGGAAACAAUUUAAAGCGAGGCGUAGUCCUCAGCUGGCUGUGCAGUCUCAGACUUCUCCAGAGAAAUCUGUACUCUGUAGCUUCCCUUGUAUCAACCCGACUCGCGGAAAUGGCGAACGAACCUGUGAAGCCCAUGAACAAACGAAAAGCAAGCUUUCCUCCCAAGAGAGGGCAGAUCAAAGUUAGGAUAAUUGGGAAUUUGAUCAAGACGAUCAUUGUAGCAGCCAAGGCUGGAGGACGACGGGGACGGAGUAGAAGGCAAGACGGUCGCGACGGUGAUGGCUCAACCUCUGUCUCCACAACCCCACCUCAGAGCGCCUACACUUCGGAAACCGAUGUGUGAUCCGGACGAAAACCUAUUCACUGUGUGAUCUUCUGCAGCUCACUAAAUCGAGCUUGUCCCGUGCCUCUGAUCUUCAUCUCGUAGUCAGAUCAUGGAUGGGAAAGCAACAGAUAACAAGCAGAUGAGAGUAUCCAGAAGUUCAGUUGGUUCAGCUCCAGUUUUUGGGAGCCCUUAAUGCUGUGAAUACACUUUGUAUAGGACAGUUUUUCUUUUUAAUCUGACAAAUAGAAAUUGAAGAUGAGUUUUUGAUCUUUUUUUUCCUUUUCUUUUCUUGCGGAAGCUUGAUGCCCAUCUAUUGCUUCUCUGUAAAUAUUUAUUAUAUCUUGAGUUGGAUUUUCUUCGGGUUCUGGUGGGAGAAAGUAAAUUUGGGGGAAAGGGGUUGUAAUUACUAAUUACUGGGUUUGGCCGUUUGGGGAAUGGGAAUGACAAAUUCCUUUCCAUGUUCUGCAUGCAAAUUUGAUAAAUAUGUAAAUUAAUGGUAACGGUAUCAAUUGUUGUUGAUCCCUGAGUUUUA